rnacentral:lncRNA from 1 species
AAGGGGAAGGGGAUCUUGGCGAGCUGUAGUCCUAGACAAGCCCCUGGGGAUGGGUGAGCAGUGGAAGGAACCGGCCCUAUGUUUCCCCCAGUUCUGGGACCUAUAGGGGUGAGGUUCCCCCAAUUGGGAGGAGGGGUGCGGCAGCCGGUUCCCCGCAGCCUGGUGGGAGACGGGAGAGCCGGGGGCUCUAGACCUCCUCCUCAGCCUGGACUUCGGCGCACAGCGGGCACGGAGCCCCCGAGGCAAUUUGGACAAAAUCAGAAUCAAAGAAUUGAUUGUCUUGUAUUUGAGUUCAGGAUCUGCUACGUGCUGUGUGGCCUCCGGUGAAUCCUGGUUUUCUUGAAAAGGAACUGAGUUUCCAUCUGCUUAGUGCCUGGCUAUAGAAGAGGUUUGGGGCCUGCAGAGGCCUGGGCUGUGUGUCCCUUCUGGACUAGACCACAUUGUGUUCUCACGGAAGCGUAGCUGUAGAGAGUGAAGGCUUCGCUCAGACCCGCAGCAUCCUGGCAUAGUCAGCAAGUGCGGGAAGAGAGCAGAAGACCUGUAGGACUCUGCUCCAUGGUCUACAAGGGCUUGCUUGGCAAUUGUGUGGGGCAACAAAAGAGUUUUGCCAGCAGCCCUUCCUGGACAAUCGGGCCCAGCUUUAACCAUACUUGGGGAGUGUUCUGGCCUCUUUCUUCCACCUAGAAAACUGUAAGCCUACAGCGACAGCUGUGAAUCAUGUCCUUGACCCUAUCUCUGCUUGUUCCCCGGCCCCAUAUCGUUUGUGAAGACAAAACAAGAGUGAGCAAGGGAAAUUUCACUAGUGGAGUCUCUACAUCCUUAUAGAACUCAUUCUAAUGGCUUCCGGCCCAAGAGCAAAGCAAGGGCUGUUCUUAGAACUGAGAUUCACAGAAGAUAUACACCCUGUAUCAUUGAAGGUUUGCAGGCCACCUUUGAGAAGAUCCCCAGGUCUUGACGAGCCUCAAGGCAGGACGGGGGGAAGGCUUAUCAGCUUAUCAGUCAUCUAUCUCCAGUAGGGAGUCAUUUCCCAGAUAAACUUAGCACUAUUCUAUUGUACUAUUGUACUAUUCUACUUGAGCUGUUAUACAAAAUACCUAACUAUGUCUUUUAAAAAAAAG